rnacentral:lncRNA from 1 species
CCAAACGGGGGUUGUUCAAGCAAGCUGCUGCUGCUGCUGCUGUUGUUCGCGUUUCACAAAUUUACAUUGGGGAGAAACCCUCUCUAACGCUCUGGCAAAUCCCGCUUUUUCGCGAGAUCUCCUGCUAUACAUAUGUAUCUUGCCUCUCGUCCUCUUUCACUUCCCUGCUAAGUUUCGUUUAUUAAGUUUAAUGACGCGGCGGUAGCUCGACCAUGCCAAAGAACAGGAAGGAACAAGCAACAACCGCUAAGUGCACCCAACUGUAAGACUAGAAAGAAGUGACGGGUAGUUGCACCAGCAGCCAGUAUCGGAGUCUCAGCGAAGAACAAGGAGAGAUACCCAAAAAGGCGAAGCAGAAUGGGCCUUUUUUUCGGUUGCUCUCUUCUGUUGGCCUCCUAACAACUUGCACGUCGAGCAGCAGUGGUCCGAUUCAAGAAUCAGUUUAUGACCGAAAGAAGGAUUAGGGAACUGUACAAAAAAAAAAAGGACUGACGAAAUUGAACUGAUACAAGUAGUGAAAGCACUAGCUGUGCUGAUAAGGAGAGGCGAUGCUCUGCGUAGUUAGAUAUUGACUUACUACAUCAACUACUAGUUAUUGCUCUGGCUAUAAUCCAGGAAAUGCUUGAAAUUAGCAGAAAACAAUUUCAGAAAAUCAGUGAUAUGUGGCAGACCGAGAUCAAUUCUUCCGGCCGUUGUAUACAGGAAUCAAUCCGUUUCUAUAAGGCAUGCGGACUUUUACUCAAACCACGGUGCUGGGCUUUGCGCGUUCGAAGUGGCUUUUCACGUUGCCCCAAGUUUCGCGACACUUCAACGACAAUCUUAAAUCGCUUUUACCUUCCUUAACUUCAAUAUCGCUGAAUCACGACGAAGGGAGCUGAAUCGUUGUAUUGUCAACCGGCUUUUUGAUAUGUGAAAAAGAGUCGCGCGCUUCCAUCAAAGCCCCGCGUUCAUUUGAAUGAAUAUUCCCUUCUGUGUCGUAUUGCUCUCGUUUACGGGGUGUUCGGACUAAACUUGGACCCAUUUCGCGAGCUGUACAUAGCAACGGCGGCUUGCGCUCAUCGAUAAUAGUUGAAAAUAAACGAAGGCGUACUUCCCGCGAACCGCUCUAUUUCGUCGGUUUUCGUUUCGACCUUUGCUAGUGGUGCCAAUCAAGAUCAUCAUACGCAUCCGUUAUGCUUUUGCCUACUCCCAGAACUCGCUGGUUCGGACCCAACUGCAGACAAAUCUCUUUAUAGCGGGAGAAACACAUCGCGUGUGUGCGUCCGUAUCAAAGCUCUUCUAGAAAGAUAUCGUACAUCACCAUGAGGGAGGCCCACGUUGCAACAAGCUUGUUGCAGGCAGAUUCAAGUCAAGAAAGCAGUGUCCAUUAUUAUAGCAGGGCACGCUUUGAGAGAAGGAAGUAUAGACGCCACCUAAGCCUUAGCAUGAGCUAAAGCCUUAGCUUUGCCAUUGCAACAGCUACCAGUACAUCUCGUGCCAAUUACUCUUCUCUUCUUCCUCAGGACACCGGCGGCAGCCUAGAAAGAGAUCAUAAUUCGUUCUUAAUAAAUUGCAACUUUGCUCCGACAACUUUGCAUGACGGUUGAAUUGAGAAAACAAAGAUGGCUGGACUGUACCCCGUAUGUCCAUAGGCGUGCUAGGGCACUGUGAGCGUACGUGCGGCCACACGAAAGAGUCAAGGGUCCUUUCAAGUCGUGGCGUUCGUUCAACGCCACGUCAAUUCGGCUUGCUUCUUACUCAGCGGGCGCGUCGCUUAGCGUUCGCCUCCUUCAAUAAGUAGGCAGCGGUAGCGGCAGCAUCGUCUCUCACCGAAUCACUUCCUGUUCCUGCUUUUACUUGUUCUCCGCCUUUUUUCGCGUCAUCGUGAUCAUCGCCGUCGGGCGUUGAACAAAAUACUCGUGCGCACAGACUUCCUGUAAGGAAAGGAAACCUUCGAACGCCAUCGCUUAGACCCCUUCGUUGAGGCUCUUUUAUUCUUUCGCCGACUCUCUGCCGUUAGCUAUAUCGGUAGUGCAAAACAGGGACCACUUCGUUCUCCCGUUUCUCGUGAAGGACAGAAAAUAGUGAAAGCUACCGAGAAACGAAAGACCGUACCAGAGAACCAACGACACCAACGGGUAGUGGCGGGAAGUGUAGGCUGCUGCCGCCGCCCGCCAUUCUACGGCCUAGCCACUUGCCAUGACAAACUUUUGACAACAAUAUCCCCAUGCCCUCGUGGCUCUCCGUCGCCAGUAUUUCUUUUUGGUAUAUGGAGAGAAAGAGUGCCAUCUGUGAGGGCGAAUUGACGGGCCCGUUAAGGUGGGACAGUGGCGCUCCAGCGCUAGCAAGUGAAGAAUAGGAGGAUCAGGAAAAGAAAUAGGAAGAGGUAUGAAGAGAGAAAUGUGAGAACGAGUAAGCAUGACCACUUCUGAGUGAGUCUUUUGAGCGACGGCCUGAUUACGCAGGCGACUUUUUCCCCAGCAGCGGCCCUGCCAGACUCAAUCAGGAGAGACCUGCGGAAGCUUCUGAGAGCCAACAGCGGUAGCCGCCAGCCGUCACUGCUCCCUGCGGUUCUUGCCUUACACCUGCUUGGUUCACCGACAAAAACUUCUUUUAUUAAUGUUCACACCGCGGAGCCUUACCUGUACCGAUUGCUACACCAACAGCAAUGUGUAAAAAGGCCAACUUGCGCGAUUCAGAGGAAAAUACGGAGUAAAAUCGAUGCUGAUGAUAACGUUGAUAAACUGAAGUCAGCGAUGCGUACAAAAGGAAAAGCACGCUGUUAACCAAAGACGGGCUUGGGGGUGUGUAAAUGUGCCUAGAUGUUUGCUUGUUCUCUUCCCAUUUUUAACCUUUACAAUAACAUGGAUGCAUAUAAUACUAUACAACGACACUUCUAAGCCAAGUAGAUGCCCGAAUAUUGUGAUCUACGACGUAGCAAUCAUCGAUACGACUGAUUUUUCCAAAGGGGAAAAACGUUCCCUCUUACUAUGUUGCUGGAAUUACCAGGAAAUUGUGUAUCAUUAGAAACAUUUGCUUCAUGGCAGUUUGCAAAAUGCUGGUAAAACUACUAUGACUAAUUCACCAAUACGAUGAUACAAAUAUGGAACUUAAAAUUAUAUAUAUAAAAUUCCAUCGCUUCAAGUUACAAAAAAAAAAAACCUCAUCCUUGAUGUAAUAGAAUUGUACUUGGGCUAAAAAAAGGACAUG